GGGAGAACAUGCGCGGGUCAAGGGCAGAUCGUAUCAGUGGCACACAGCCCAUAGACCAAUCAAAGCAUAGCCAUUGCGGGAAUAAUAUCACAGACGACAAGGAGUUCGUAUGCACCGCAAACGCCCUGAAAAGCCGGAAUAACGUUACAAGAUGCAUUCAGUACAUGGCCGUAACAGAUUUGCCCUGACGCUUGCAGAGCGUGACUCCGGGUUCUUUGGAAAAGAGUGCCAGUACAGCGUAUCCAAAUAGCAUAAUCGGAAGCCUCCUGCUUCGAGGUUCGGCAAUC